rnacentral:lncRNA from 1 species
AGCGAUAUCUAGGGGCCUGACGCACAUUCCAGGUCGACUCCCACAGCUGCACAGCACCUAGCGUUGCCUGAGGAAGCCUAAGUCUACGACCAAGCAGCCAGAGACGCUAGCGGUAGCCGCCCCCCUCACAACUAGGUCGCACCAAGCCUGUGCUUAGCUGGCUCCUUGCCCGAACAUUCGUGGCCAACUCUGACUCCACAGCCUGGUUGCAUCAAGGCACCAGGGCUCGUUUGGCGUGUGCUGUGUCUUGCGGUCACAACCCGUGGCUGACGGCAGCAUACUUGUAACGGUUGAGUGCAAAUCCCCCUCCGCGGGUUGCCCCUUCCCCUUCUCCUGCGACCGACGCGUGCGGACCGGACUGGACCUAAGCCCUUCGCCAUAGUGCGCGGCCUCUAGUGUGUCAGGCUUCCCCCGUCACCCCGGCGCCUACAGUCUCCCUUCUCCCUUCUCCGGUUUCCCUUCGAGAUUGCGACUUCCUACCGUGAUCCAGCCUCUGCCUCCCUUCUCCCUUCUCCGGUUUCCCUUCGAGAUUGCAACAUCCUACUGUGAUCCAGCCUCUGCCUCCCUUCUCCCUCCACCGGUCUCCCUUCGAGAUUGCGACUGACUACCGCACCCGGCUCCUGCUUUCUUCUGCCAGCCAUCUGGUCUGCAUACCGUAUCCACCAGCCUUGGGUGCCAGCAGCUCGCAUCUGUUGUACCGACUUGCCUGCCUGUGCCUGCAGUCUGUAGCACUCGCAUAGGAUUGCUUGCUUGUAAACGCACAUACCUGUUGUACAGACUUGCCUGCCUGGGAGCUUAGCUUGCUCAGCUCAGCCGGGUUGCGCAUCAGCAGCGCGUACGACUCCAGCGGGUACUCAGCCUUAUAGGGUAGUCUCGCUCCUCUCUCUUAUCCAAAUACCUCUGGCGUUCUACACGCCCUAACAACUACGCCCAGGCUCCGCCUGAGGAUACGGCUUCUAUCCCCUCUUUCUCUCGUGCAGGUCCGGCCUGCCGGCCGCCAAGUCUCUCUCCCUUCUCUCUCUCCCUAUCCCUUUCCUUUACAGGUUCCCCAGUUCUCCGUGUACAUACGACUGAAUCAUCUCUCGACCACACCUCUGGUAUCUCCGACUAUUGCUGUGAUCGCCGCAGGCGCAUCUUGAUCACCCCGCAAGUGCCCAGGACAGCGGCUGGUAUACAGGGUCGGGUGUGGCGGCCGUCCAGCCUCUCCACGCUCCGUGCUCAUACCCUGAGAAGGUCAAAGCGGUGCAGGUCUGUCGUCAUACAGCUGCAUCGUGGCCAGUGCCUCAGUGACAGCCCGCGUUACAGCGCAAAGGUUUUUAUAGUUCCCGGUUUUUUACGGGUGCUGCGCUUUUAGUGGGGGGAGUUGCGGGAAAUUGUCCUGAGCUCCUCUGCGUCCCCUUAUCGUCAUUCCCAGCUUUCCUGGCUACGCCCGGAUUUAUCCGUCUACUGCGACAGCUAAAAUGGUUGACUCCGACGCCGAAUCCACUUCAUCUGCGUCAAGCCGGCGUUCGAGCCGUUCUACCCAACUCAAGAAGGGCAUUUCGCCCUCUGCUCUUAAUGCUGUCCCCACGUUCAACCCCUCCUCUGAUGACCCGACUGAUUGGAUCGAUUCUAUUGAACGGGUUGGACAGGUGUUUGGUUGGGACGAUCCCACCAAACUAGCCAUUGCCCGCUGCCGCCUGCUACAUUCUGCCAGGGUUUGGGACUCUGCUGGUAAGGACAUCGACUCCUGGCCAAAGUUCAGUCAAGCCUUCCUCGACCGCUUUGCCCUACGAGAAACAGAAAUCUAUGGCCAACUGGCAUCCUGCCGCCAGGGCCUACGCGAGUCAGUACGUGAUUACUCCGACCGUUUCCGCUAUCUUCUGGCCCGUCUUGGUAUCAGGCCUGGCCGCGAUUACAUGUACCACUACCUGCGUGGGCUUCACCCCCGCACCUACCGCAAGGUUCACCUCUUGCGCCCUCAAACUCUGGAAGAUGCGAUUGACGGCGCCAUCUAUGUCAGCGAAGUUGAAGAUUGGGACAACGCCAGCACAGGGCGCAGCGCCCCGGCACCUCCCGAACGCAGGGUGCGGUUUGAUGAACAACCGCCAAACACCCGCAGCCUACCCUCUCCGGCACCCCCCACGCCUCCUCAGACUCGCCAUGACCGCCACCGUCCACUUUCAUCCUCCCUCUCCCGCCGUGAUGACAGCGGCGUACGCCCCCGCCGUGAUGAGAAGUAUACUGACCGUUCGCGCAUGCCGCCGCGGUCCGCCUCUCCCCCAGCCCCAGCUCCUGACUCCUUUGAGCGUGAGCUGGAGGAUCUGCAGUCUAAGCUCGCCAAGAUGACGUUGGCCUACCGUCACGGCCAUGAUUUGUCCACCAAUAUGUAUGAACGUGAGGAGGAUGGUGCUGUGCCUGCAUACCUCUCUCACCGCUACGCUAGUGACUCCGACUCCAGAACCGAGGAUGGCAGGGAGUCAGAGCUGUACUCCCGUGAACACGCCGUCUUCACCACCAAGCGUAUCAGCGAUUCCGAACCCGUACGCUUGCCCAACAAGCGUGCGCCCGUAGACACCGACGCCCAACCUAUGGAGAUCAACAAUCGGCCGCCGCCGCGCCGCGUCAGGGCUACCCGUGCCCCGUCCAAGGCCCCUGCCGACACGCCAGUCCCCUCAACUCACCGAGCCGCGGGUCCUGGGGUGCCCAUAGAUACCUCUCCCGAUGCUGCUGCCAGCAGGGCGGCCGUGCCUUCCCCCGCGCGCAAAGACGGCAAUGACAAAUGCGACAGGGUUUCCGCUGGCCAUCGUGACGUUGGCCGCGCAAUCCGUAGUCCCGUUGGUGGGACUACCCGUGCCGAAAACACCCUGGAAACACCGUCUUCAACUCCUCCUCAGCAGCAACCGCCACCUGCGGCGGUCCCUCUCAUCCCGGCUACGGCCGAGCCAAGCCCGCCGCCAGUCUCCUGCACCACCUUCUUGGCCUCUCGUUCUCAAGACUUAACUGCUUCGGACCCUAUGCCCAUCCUGGAUGCGCACACCGCACGGUGGGAUUCUCUGCCUCUCUACAACCUGGACAGCCGUCUCCCCAAGUUCUCAGUGUGCCGGGCUACGGUCACACUAACCAACGUCCGUGGAGAGAAAGAGAGCAUCAGGGCAGUGGUUGACACUGGCGCCUCCUACAGUGUGGUGCCUAUGCACAUCGUGCGCCGCCUGGACCUGUUGCCUUAUGUCGCUGACUCACGCGCCAUGUUCCUGAAUGCCGAUGGUAUCAAGAAGAAGGCAACCGGUCAAGUACGUGGCAUGCAGGUGGGGCUGGGCCAAGAUCUGAUGUACACUAUGGACAUGUACGUGUCCCAAGCCCAAAACUACGAUUUACUGCUGGGAAUGGACUUCCUGUACCCCAUCAAGGCUUCCGUGGAUUUCGGCGGCCAGCGGCUGCUGUAUACCAACGACUACAACCAACGCAGUCACGUGCCCAUUGCAUGUGUGGACGUCGAGGAGCCUCCUCCCCUCGAGACCUCCCUGCCCGGGCUGCAAGGAAUGCCAUCUAUCGGAUACAAUUCUGGGACCUACGGCCACGGACGGGAUGCAAUCCCCGCCCUGCAAUUCGUCAGCCCUGUGGGCCACCUGAAAGAGAAGGCAGGUAAGGCACUGUAUACCCUCAAGAGCGCCGCCAUGGAGGCUGCCUCUACUGCCUCGUCCGGCAUGGAACAGCUACUCCAACACCUGCCGCGUACCGCUAAGGUGCGCUCUUGGUUGUUUACCACCUGGGAGAACACGUUGACAAAAUGGACAGCCAAGGAGUACGGCACCGUGUCAAACCAGAUUACACACGACGCCGCCGUCGUAGCAAGCACCCCUAAGACGCCCCUUUCUUCCGACAGCCCUUCAAACAAGACCGCUACCGUGAAGAACCUGCCUCUCCUCGGGACGCCGCCCUUGGCGCCCGUGCGCAUCCCGCGCCCUAACCUUUCCGCCAGACCAAGCCCUAGCUUACCCCCAACUUCUCCUGGCCUCCUCUACGAUGCACCCGCACACUUCUCCUGCGGCAUCUCGUUGAUAGAGAUGCCGGCGACUGCCGGCGAAUCUGCAGCGGCUGAGGCCUUAAUUGCCUUGGCCCAUCAGGCUGGCGCGUUCCUGCCACCUGAAGCUUCCAACGGCGAAUGUUCCCCUCCUCCUUCUCGCUCCGCCUCUGCGUCGCUGAACGUGUUGGAAGGCGUUAAAGCCACAUGUCAACGUGUGGGAGACGAGUUACCUGAGCUUUGCGACGGCGCCACACCCAUCAUCGCCGCUCCUCCGCCGUCUUCCCGUGCUCCAAGCAAGAUGUCCCCAACCGAGCAAGAGCAGAUUCGUGCAGCCGCCUUACCGCCGGUGCGUGCAAACCCACUUAUGACCUGCGAUCAGCUGGCCCCUGCAGCAUCCCAGCAGGAGCCAGGAGUUGUGCCCCUCUUCCUUAGCGACGGGAACACUGAUGCCCGCCGUAUGAAUUUUAUCUCAGACUCCCCAGCUCGGCCUCCUCUUCCACCGCCCCAGCAGGCUGCCAACACGCCCAAGGAAGCUACGUCGUCUGAGAAAGUUACACCCGAACCGGAACCAGCGCCUGAGCCUGAGCCUGGCCCUGAACCUGAUGAUGAGCCUGAACCCGAACCCCGCACCCUGCCACGACGCGUAAAGGUGCGCUCUGAGGCUGCACAGCACCCUCAGUCUGCCGCGGCGGUUGCCCUUGCCACCGCUGCCGCCACUCCACCUCCAGCACUCCAGCCAACCGUAACGGGAGCCCCUACAAGGCCUGUGUCGGUAGUGUUGCCGCCGCGCCGCGUCAAUGCUCCCCAAUUACUCCAUACAGACUUGUCAACGCCGUCCGUCAGCCAAGAGAUUAUUGCGACCGAAGAGCCCAACGCUGACCCGACCUUGUUCCCUAGUGGAGACGGACGUGAUCCAAGCCAAGUUUCCGUACACCCCAAGCCGGCUCUCGAGGAGUCGCCAGCCAUGCGUACCCAUAUGCUCAACCGCAACAUGUUUGAUUUCGAGAUGAUACCCCCUGACUGCUGUGACAGCGAACCUACGGAGGACCUACAGUGUGACAUCUGCGGCAAAGGAGAGCCGCCCCCAAACAGCCUGCUUAUCUGCGACAGACCUGCUGAACGCCCUGCCCAUGAUGGCUGUGACCCGUACUGCCUGUGGCCGCGGGUACUUAACGUACUAUAUGGCUCUUGGUAUUGUCCCCGACACCAGAUGGAAACGGCCAGCCUCUCAGGAGGGCGUGGCUCGAACAAGGGCCCGGUACCGGCCUUACCCGGUCGUGCGCCGAGCAUAGGCCCGGUACGGGCCGCCGCCACGGCGGGUGCUGUUGCGGCCGCGGCGGCUGCCGCUGCAACCCCGCAAAACGACGGCGCUGUCAUCCCUACCGCCGCCACCGUCACCAAGACUCAAGGGCGCCUGCGCGCCACCGCACAUGGAAUGGAAUCCCAUCCGGAUAAACAGUUACGCGAUCUGCCCCCCGCUACCAAAUUGUCCGUCCAACGGCCCCUACGUGUACAGAAGCUGGCAACUGCCACUGUACCUCCUAUCGUCCUGCAUCGACCCAAAACGGACCGCAACCGAUACCCUCUCACCAGUCUCCCCGACCAAGGUAUUUUAUUUUACUGCUGGCGCACGAGCCCAAUCAAAUGGAGGGGCCUGCGUCUCCUACAGCCGCUAAGCAACGCUGGUCAUCAAUCGCCUGCCGCACGGCUCAAGAUCAUUUCAACGCGUUUUAUGUAGUGCAAGCCGACCUGCCGCCGCAAGCAAGCAGAAAUGCCUGGGUCAGCACGCUACUGGGUCAUGCAAGGGACGCAUGACUGAAGGCCCGGUAGCGACAGCUGUGGCGACAAAAGAUGCACUUCGUAAAUCCGCGGCUGACCCAUCUUUGCUACUGCAGAGGAAAGAGUAGAAAGUGCCGCACUGCAACAGGUUCCUGCUUUCCCCAAUCCCCGCCAGUGCGGGUGUGUGUGUCCCAUGCCCCCUCGGGUAGCCCAGGUUCGCCAACACCGCCCCUUCCACCAAAGGCCCACGGUCCAGCAAGGAUCCCGUCUUGAGCAUGGCGAGCCCAAGCCACUACGUAUAGCUUCCAGCGGCGCCGAGACGUGAGUCGCGGCGCUGCUCGUCCAAGUUCCACCGACCAAGACCAAUCAAGAUCCAAGGCCAUUGUGGAUCAGCAAAAUAUGAUAAAUAGUAUUGAGCGAGAUGAUGAGCAUAGCAGCGGCAUUAGGCCGCGUCGAGUUGGUUGAUCUGGUAGUUCGCGAUCGAAGUUUCCGGACUUGCUCGAUGUUUCUAGUGGCGCCCCAGGCUAGCCUAGAAUUUUCGAAGAAGUUGUUUAGCACACCCACCAUCGAGCGACGUUUUGGGUAGUUGACGAGGUCGGUUGAAGGUCUGGCACGCCCGCCACCGGUAGUAGUUACCUAGCGAUAUCUAGGGGCCUGACGCACAUUCCAGGUCGACUCCCACAGCUGCACAGCACCUAGCGUUGCCUGAGGAAGCCUAAGUCUACGACCAAGCAGCCAGAGACGCUAGCGGUAGCCGCCCCCCUCACAACUAGGUCGCACCAAGCCUGUGCUUAGCUGGCUCCUUGCCCGAACAUUCGUGGCCAACUCUGACUCCACAGCCUGGUUGCAUCAAGGCACCAGGGCUCGUUUGGCGUGUGCUGUGUCUUGCGGUCACAACCCGUGGCUGACGGCAGCAUACUUGUAACGGUUGAGUGCAAAUCCCCCUCCGCGGGUUGCCCCUUCCCCUUCUCCUGCGACCGACGCGUGCGGACCGGACUG